CUGAUCAUUGAGAGAGUGACACCUGGUCUUAGGCUUAGAAGAGGAGUAGAAGAGAGCCAGUGAAGUCAGGGAAGGCUUCCAAGGCAAAAGGACCAGCAAAAGGGCAGCACAUUCCCCCUGUUCCCAGGUGGGUCCAGAGAUGUCGCCUGGGAGCCAGGGCCUGGAGUUCUGUUACUGUGGCUGAGCUUGCACCCAAGCUACAAGAUGACAUCCUACUCUUCCCUCACCUUUCUACAAGUAGAGGAGUCUCUUCUCAUGGCCACCAUUGUCCCAGGAUGUGAGGUCUGGAACAGCUGCAGCCAUUUUGCCACCAUGGGAAACCUGGGACAUCUGAACUGACUCCAUGAAGCCUGAAGAGAAAGCUAAUAAGAAGGCAGAGAGAAGAGGAAGAGUCUUGGUCUUUGGAAAUAUCUUUUGGAGCUGCUGGAUCAAGUAUCACUUGAAGUAUUAUUGAAUUUAUUCCCCGAAGGAGAGCGGCUAAGAGUAUUGCCCAGCCACAGGCUCUCAACCACCAACCCGAGCCUCAGAUUCUCCUCACACAGCCACAGCUGUACCACAUGGCCCACGUGGUAUGGUGCUAAUUCCUCUGACAUCUAAUUUUCACUUUUUGGCAAUAUUUGGUCUCAUCAAGCUUUACACAUAAAUAUUUUCAGCAAAGUGCUCCAAAUGCCUUUUUCAGAAAUCUGAAUCCACAUGAAAACAAUGGCAACAAGAAAAAGGUGUAAACUUUCCAGAACAGGCCCAGAAUUUGAAAAUGUGAUAAAGAGGUUAUUGUGCGCCCGAACUUUUCACACAAGAAUUGGAGGAGAUUUAACACAUGGAAUAAUAAACAGAGGAAGGCGGGCUAAUGCAGAGCAGAUGGGCCUGCAGGGCAGUGCUCAGCAUUUCAACAUCUUUCCCCUGGACCUUUGGACCCAAGGUGAUUGCAUGCUGGUGUCUUUAGCUAAAAAUAAAGUUAAUGUCUUUGGGGCAAUCAUAAAUAUGGCUGCUUCAGUUUCUGGGGUGAUUGGUGGUCUAAAGUUUUCAAGAACCUACUAUGUGAAAGGCAUUUGACAUUCACUAAUUUAAUCCCAACUACUACUCCAUUUUGAAGGAAAAAAAUGAAGGCUCUGAAAGUGUAAAUCGCUUACUGAAGGGCACACGGCCAGGAUGACAGCGGAGCCAGGAUCACCCCAGGUCUGUCUCAUUGCAUAUGUCAUGGCUCUGCAAACUGGGGCAAUAGGUGAGCAGGGAGAAGAGUCAUGGCCAAAUAAAAUUGAGACAUACCGAUACACACACACACACACACACACACACACACACAUUUACACGGUAACAGCCUUAUUAAGGUACAACUAAUGUACAAUAAGGUGUACAUAUUUAAAGGAUACUAUUUGAUAAGUUUUGACAUAUGUCUGUACCUGGGAAACCAUCACUACAAUCAUGAUGGUGAGCAUAUCUAAUACUCUCAAAAGUUUCCUCUUGCCUUUUGUAAUUCCAUUCUGCCAUCCCACCUGUCCCUCCCACUCCUGAUCCCAGGCAACCACUG
rnacentral:lncRNA from 1 species